UACGUAGGGUGCGAGCGUUGUCCGGAAUUAUUGGGCGUAAAGAGCUCGUAGGCGGCUUGUCGCGUCGGAUGUGAAAGCCCGGGGCUUAACUCCGGGUCUGCAUUCGAUACGGGCAGGCUAGAGUUCGGUAGGGGAGAUCGGAAUUCCUGGUGUAGCGGUGAAAUGCGCAGAUAUCAGGAAGAACACCCGUGGCGAAGGCGGUUCUCUGGAACGCAACUGACGCUGAGACGCGAAAGCGUGGGGAGCAAACAGG
rnacentral:rRNA from 1 species